UCCUGCGUUGGCAGGCAGAUUCUUUACUGCUGAGUUCCCUGGGAACCCCAGGCAUGGCUCCUAGAGCCAUUGAACAUAAUUGAAAUAGAGUUGUCAAAAAGGCAGGAAGGGAACCAGUAGGAACAGCUGACACAGAUAUCGGAUUCUUUCCUGUGACAGGUGUAUCCUAUGAGCUCAGCUUGAACAAGUUGCAGGAACCUGGGCUGGGCUCCAAGGCAGAAUGUUUCUUACAUGAGGGACCAGAGUUCUCUGUAGGGAAUCACUGGGUAAUUAGUACAAACAGUGUUCCGAUGGUGUGCAAGGAGUAAAAAUUAAUAAACAGAGACUUCAAUUAAAACAGAGUCAGGAGGCCAGAAGGGGAAGCUCUCAUACUCUAUGCUGCUGCUGUUGCUAAGUCGCUUCAGUCGUGUCCGACUCUGUUGGACCCCAUAGACGGCAGCCCACCGGGCUCCCCCGUCCCUGGGAUUCUCCAAGUAAGAACAUUGGAGUGGGUUGCCAUUUCCUUCUCCAACCUCAUACUCUAUGAGGAUAGUGGAACUCAACCGGAAGGAAAACCACUUCCCCUUGUUGCCUGGCAAGAGCUCAACCAAUGAGAGACUCUCACAAUUCAGCCAAUGAGAAGCCCCUAUACUUCGAACUCUCAACUCUUCAGUGGACUCUUGUUUCUCAUAAACCUGGCAACUUUCUUUACCUCUCUUUAAAAGAGUUCUCCUUUCUUUGUUGUGGUGGCUCACCAUGGUUACAGACCCCAAAUUUCAAAUCCUUGUUGAUUCCAAUUAAGCCCAUUUUUUGCUGGAGAAAUAACUGGUAAUCUGUGUUAGUUAAACAUUUUGGCGGUCCACAUGGGGAUCCAGAGAAGGCUCCUGUUGACUUCCAGGCUGGUAAGCAAACAGGUAUGGUUUCCAACCCAUCUGGAGAAGAAAGGUAAGAGAGAAUUCCAGAGUAACAACUUUCACAGAUAAAUCAACUCACUGCAGUUGCAUCCUAUCCAUGGACUAGUGACCCAGCAGAGUUCAGCUUCCUAGUCAUCAAGUUGCCCCUUCUGGAUCUGUCAGUACCCUCGAGAGAACGUGCCUGUGCCCAGUUGCAUCCGACUCUGUGCGACCUCAUGGACUAUAGCCCACCAGGCUCCUCUGGCCAUGGGAUUCUCCAGGCAAGAAUGCUGGAGUGGGAUCUUCCUGACCCAGGGGCUGAACCCACAUCUCCUUCGUCUCCUGCACUGCAGGCAGUCUUGACUCACUGAACGACUCAGAAACCUGCCCCCAAAGAGUAAGUAGUUUCACAUGUCAGGCUCAUCUCCUUGCUUCUCAGUCUCCCCAGAACUUGUCCUGUUUAGUCUUCACUCUUUUUUGGAUUUCCAGUGCCUUGGAGAAUAUGCUUUUUAUAUUUUGUUCAGUUUUUCUAGUUAUUUGUCCAAAUUAUCUACUUUGUCAUUAUUGACUUUCCGCAAUCAUUUAACUGAGGAUCAAAGAAGAAAUUAUAUAAAAUUUAAAUUGUUUUCAGAAUUUCAAUAAUAAUAAUAAUAAAUUGUAACCUUUUUUGUCAUGAUCCUUUUGCAAUCUUAGUGCUAUAGUAGCCCUACUCAAAGAUGUGUGAUAGUCUAAACCAGGUCAGCAAUACAUUUUAAGGUUGCAAUAUGAUGACAGAUACAGAAAUCAAUGGCAUAAUAUAAUGUCAGCAACCUAGGGGAAAUCUGCAGCGCAUUGUCUUUUUUCUUAGUAAUUUAGUAACUUUCUUAACUUAGUAACCAGUUAAUCUCGUAUAAAUAAAAUGUACACCAUGAUGUCAUAUGUUUCACUUCGUGAGUUAUUACAAAUGGCUCUUUUUAAAGAAGUAGUUCUUUGAACUGAAGUCCCAUCUGCCUUUCUAAUUACUUUUUUAAAAUUUACAUUGUGAAAUUCCCCCAAGUAUUUAAUUUGUGUACAUGUUUAAAGUUAUUUGAUAAGAGCCCAGUCCAUGUUUUGAAUUGGAUUUACCAAUUCUGUUUUCCCCUGGUGUUUAGCAAAAUUUAAGUGGAUUUUUUCUUUCUUCUGCUAAGACUCAUCUUUAUUAAUAUAUAGCUUUAAGUUAAAUAUUAAUACAUCUUACUCUGAAAAUCAGUAUUCAACUUAUGCUUGGGAAUUUCCAAAAUAAUUGUUUGAAAUAUUUAGAGUAACAAAAAUAUAGGUUGAGUGUAAAUAUUCUACAUUUUCUUGAAAUAUGUAACACUAAAUAUUAGAGUCCUGAUACUAUUCAAGCACCUCCAGAGCAAAAACCCUGUGAAAUAAAACUGCUUUGCCUAUGAUAGUUACUUAUCUAUUAAUGUUGCUUUAUGGACUCUAGUGAAGACUGAUUUUCCUAUUGGUAGAAAGAAGUCAAAGUUCUUUUUCAGCAUGGGCUUUGAAGUCAGACAAGUCUGAUGUUUCAAUAGAGAGUCUCUAUUGGCCAGCUUGACUUUGGGUUCCUUAACAUUUUUAAAGUUUGUGUCCUUAUUUAUUAAAAUUGAGAAAUAUCUGGUUGAUGGGUCCACAAGAAGAAAACUCUGAGCCACAACAACUUUCGCAAAUUCCAGAACAUCAGUUUGCAACAAUCUGGGGCCUGUGUGUUCUAUUACAGGGUUUCUGUGUAUUACAGGGUUUCUGUAGAUAGUGUAACAGAGUUUUGGGUUUACUCUGCAUUUUACUUGGAUUAAAGAUUUAAAUACAUUAA